CACUCCUGGGCCCCCACCAGGAGCAAAGAGCAAACCCAGGUGGGAUGGCUAACCACCACGUACCUGUCACCGCUCAGCCCAGGAGGGAGCUUUUCUGCCUUCAAGGACAUGGGAACCUGACCCGGAUCUGGAUUUCUGCUGCUACUUUGCAGCAAAUGGCCUGGUGGUGGCAAAGAGGCUGAUCUCCAAUUCAUGAAGUGCAUGCAGCUCCUCAGGGAAUGAUCCUGCCUUCUCUCUUGAUGGAGCUGGUCCUGCAUCCCCAGGUCCAUGUUCUCCUCCAGCUGAGGCCACUGGAUAUGAAUCUCCUGUUCCUGCUGCUGUGGAGGGGAGAGUUACCUACUGCUGCUGCCAAGCUCUGCCUCGCAGGGAAACCCCUUCUGGGGUGGAAGACCCUGGAUCUGCUAAAUUUCCCACUGGAAAUAGGAUAUGAAAUGAUCUAUGGAGCCAGUCCCUUGCUUGGCCAUGGUCACUGGCGCCUCUGACUCCACUCAUUCACCAGGUGUGAGUCCCAACCGUCCUCGCAUGAUGCCACCAUCAAACAAGUGACAAGUGGCGGCUGGUCCAGCUGUGCAGAAUGAGAAGGGUGCUGGGGGAAGGCUGGCGGAGAGGAGAUGAGUCCAUCUGGGUGAGGCACAUCGAUCGGAGGCAUCUGAUACAUUAUUCAUGACCAACCCGGGCUGCAGCUCAGGAGAAAGUGGUGAGCACGCACUUCUUGGGAAAUAUGUCUGAGAGCUGAAAAGCCCCCAUGUGAGGCUGGUGGCAUUUUGAGGGAGAAGCCAAGA